rnacentral:rRNA from 1 species
AUGGAGCGACCGACGUCGGAACACCAGCAGGCAGUGAAGAGGAUCAUCCGCUACAUAGCAGGGACCCUCGACCACGGCCUCCACUAUCCUAGGUGUCCGGGGGCAGCACACUUCGUCGGGUACAGCGACAGCGACCACGCCGGCGACAUUGACACCAGCAAGAGCACGAGCGGGAUCCUCCUCUUCCUCGGCAAGUGUCUCGUGAGCUGGCAAUCAGUCAAGCAGCAGGUGGUGGCCCUGUCCAGCUGUGAGGCUGAGUACAUAGCGGCCUCCACCGCCUGCACUCAGGCGCUUUGGCUCGCUCGACUGCUUGGUGAUCUUCUCGUUCAAGACACCAGAACGGUGCAGCUCCUGGUGGACAGCAAGUCCGCCCUGGCCCUGGCAAAGAACCCCGUGUUCCACGAACGAAGCAAGCACAUCCGGCUGAGGUAUCACUUCAUCCGCAGCUGUGUGGAAGAAGGGAGCAUCGAGGCGAGCUACAUGAACACCAAGGAUCAGCUCGCAGACCUGCUCACCAAGCCUCUUGGGAGGGUCAAGUUCCUCGAGCUUUGCUCCAGGAUCGGGAUGAUUCAACACUCCCACAAGACGACGUACAAGACUUAG